rnacentral:rRNA from 1 species
AGCGCGUGGAGCAUGUGGCUUAAUUUGACUCAACACGGGAAAUCUUACCGGGUCCGGACAUACCGAGGAUUGACAGACUGUUAACUGCAACACAAGCUGCUAAGUUUUAAACUUAAUAGCUCUUUCAUGAUUAUAUGAUAGGUGGUGCAUGGCCGUUCUUAGUUCGUGGAGUGAUCUGUCUGCUUAAUUGCGUUUCAAAAUUUAAACCUGAGCGACAAGGUGCUGCUAUCGAAACUGUCUUUGAGUGUGAACUAUAAGUCUUUUGACUUAUGACCAUCACUCUAGACGUUUAUGUUUUGGUGUUGGCCCUUGAUGCUCAUUUGAACGCAACGGACGUGAUUGCAACCCCUUGUUGAGAUUUAUCCGAUCUCUACGUUCACUGAACCACACUCUUUAGCGAGAGCAGUGGGGAUGUGGAUAAACUCGGGGGACUGCUGACUAUAAACUUUUCUC